UACGUAGGGAGCAAGCGUUGUCCGGAAUCAUUGGGCGUAAAGCGCGCGUAGGUGGCUUCGUAAGUCCGUUGUGAAAGUCAAAGGCUCAACCUUUGAAUGCCGAUGGAUACUGCGGAGCUAGAGUACGGAAGAGGCGAGUGGAAUUCCUGGUGUAGCGGUGGAAUGCGCAGAUAUCGUGAGGAACACCAGAGGCGAAGGCGGCUACCUGGACAAUUGCUGACGCUCAGGCACGAAAGCGUGGGGAGCAAAAGGG
rnacentral:rRNA from 1 species